rnacentral:rRNA from 1 species
GAACGAACUUCCGUUAAUUGAUUAUGACGUGCUUGCACUGAAUGAGUUUUUAACACGAAGUGAGUGGCGGACGGGUGAGUAACACGUGGGUAACCUGCCCAGAAGCAGGGGAUAACACCUGGAAACAGAUGCUAAUACCGUAUAACAGAGAAAACCGCCUGGUUUUCUUUUAAAAGAUGGCUCUGCUAUCACUUCUGGAUGGACCCGCGGCGCAUUAGCUAGUUGGUGAGGUAACGGCUCACCAAGGCGAUGAUGCGUAGCCGACCUGAGAGGGUAAUCGGCCACAUUGGGACUGAGACACGGCCCAGACUCCUACGGGAGGCAGCAGUAGGGAAUCUUCCACAAUGGACGCAAGUCUGAUGGAGCAACGCCGCGUGAGUGAAGAAGGGUUUCGGCUCGUAAAGCUCUGUUGUUAAAGAAGAACGUGGGUGAGAGUAACUGUUCACCCAGUGACGGUAUUUAACCAGAAAGCCACGGCUAACUACGUGCCAGCAGCCGCGGUAAUACGUAGGUGGCAAGCGUUAUCCGGAUUUAUUGGGCGUAAAGCGAGCGCAGGCGGUCUUUUAAGUCUAAUGUGAAAGCCUUCGGCUCAACCGAAGAAGUGCAUUGGAAACUGGGAGACUUGAGUGCAGAAGAGGACAGUGGAACUCCAUGUGUAGCGGUGAAAUGCGUAGAUAUAUGGAAGAACACCAGUGGCGAAGGCGGCUGUCUGGUCUGUAACUGACGCUGAGGCUCGAAAGCAUGGGUAGCGAACAGGAUUAGAUACCCUGGUAGUCCAUGCCGUAAACGAUGAUUACUAAGUGUUGGAGGGUUUCCGCCCUUCAGUGCUGCAGCUAACGCAUUAAGUAAUCCGCCUGGGGGAGUACGACCGCAAGGUUGAAACUCAAAAGAAUUGACGGGGGCCCGCACAAGCGGUGGA